UUCAGAGGUCUCGAGCGUUGUUCGGAUUUACUGGGCGUAAAGGGAGCGUAGGCGGCCGGGUGUGUCGAAUGUGAAAGCCCACAACUCAACUGUGGAAUGGCAUUCGAAACUACCUGGCUAGAGUACUGGAGAGGAGAGCGGAAUUCUUGGUGUAGCGGUGAAAUGCGCAGAUAUCAAGAGGAACACCAGCGGCGAAGGCGGCUUGCUGGACGGCAACUGACGUUGAGGAUCGAAAGCGUGGGGAGCAAACAGGAUUAGA
rnacentral:rRNA from 1 species